UUAGCCACUGUCUUCCCCAAAGCACACAGUGACCGUUAGCUUUUUGUCUUCUAAAUCUUCUUUUUAGGUGCCAGGCUGACUCAAACCUGGACCCACUCCUGUCACGUGAGAGGGAUGGAGAAGCCCUGCAUCUGGUUCUUGAAGUGAAGGCCUUCAUCACUCUUUUCCUCAAAGAGCUGCAUGUCGAUUAGAGUCUUGGAACAAUCGCUUUCCACUGCUCAUUGGCCCAGCUCACUGGCCUCUUGCCCAAGCACAGGUAACGGGCACAUGAAGAGACAGCGGAAGCAGUUCUGGGCCAACCAAAAAAGAUCUCAACCCAGGAGGUGCCUGGGUCUGUGACUUUGGUUUUUGAAAAACCUAACACCUCGCACAAGGAAAUUCCUUAACAAUCUCACCACAUCUGUGUCCAGACAUUGCUGAUAUCAAGAAAAGAGGUAUGUUAUGGUGCUUUGUUCUAGUUUCCUCAUGUCAGUGAAUCAAAGUAAAGAUGGUAAUGAUAAAAUAGCUAAGAUAAAUUGUGUGGUUAAUAAGUGCCAGACCCUGUGCUAAACUCCUAUAAUCUCAUUUAAUAGUCUAAACUUCCUAGGAGUGACUUACCUAAAGCUUUGAGACCUUGCAUAACUUACCCAAGUUCCAAUGACUGGUAAGGGGCAGAGCUCAGUGUAAGUUGCAGUCCAAUUCCAAAGCCACUUCUCUUAAGUACUACAUGUUUCUCUCCCCUAAAGUACCAUCAGAAGGUUCUCAGCAUCCUUAAUAAGCCCUAACAAAUGGGGACAAGUUUUUUCAUAGCCCAUUUUCCUUAAGUUUUUAAGAAAUAGGAUCUUUGUUGCUCUUGUGAAUUCAUCUCAAGACAUGAAUGUCAGGCAUUGCUAAUGGAAAGAAAAAAAACCCACUAAUAAAUAAAUAACCAAGUGAGUGUUGCUUUUGCUC
rnacentral:lncRNA from 1 species